UGGGGAAUAUUGGACAAUGGGCGAAAGCCUGAUCCAGCCAUGCCGCGUGUGUGAAGAAGGUCUUCGGAUUGUAAAGCACUUUAAGUUGGGAGGAAGGGCAUUAACCUAAUACGUUAGUGUUUUGACGUUACCGACAGAAUAAGCACCGGCUAACUCUGUGCCAGCAGCCGCGGUAAUAUAGAGGGUGCAAGCGUUAAUCGGAAUUACUGGGCGUAAAGCGCGCGUAGGUGGUUUGUUAAGUUGGAUGUGAAAUCCCCGGGCUCAACCUGGGAACUGCAUUCAAAACUGACUGACUAGAGUAUGGUAGAGGGUGGUGGAAUUUCCUGUGUAGCGGUGAAAUGCGUAGAUAUAGGAAGGAACACCAGUGGCGAAGGCGACCACCUGGACUAAUACUGACACUGAGGUGCGAAAGCGUGGGGAGCAAACA
rnacentral:rRNA from 1 species